GCUACACAUGCAGUCGAGCGGCAGCGGGAAAGUAGCUUGCUACUUUUGCCGGCGAGCGGCGGACGGGUGAGUAAUGCCUGGGGAUCUGCCCAGUCGAGGGGGAUAACAGUUGGAAACGACUGCUAAUACCGCAUACGCCCUACGGGGGAAAGGAGGGGACCUUCGGGCCUUUCGCGAUUGGAUGAACCCAGGUGGGAUUAGCUAGUUGGUGGGGUAAUGGCUCACCAAGGCGACGAUCCCUAGCUGGUCUGAGAGGAUGAUCAGCCACACUGGAACUGAGACACGGUCCAGACUCCUACGGGAGGCAGCAGUGGGGAAUAUUGCACAAUGGGGGAAACCCUGAUGCAGCCAUGCCGCGUGUGUGAAGAAGGCCUUCGGGUUGUAAAGCACUUUCAGCGAGGAGGAAAGGUUGGCGCCUAAUACGUGUCAACUGUGA
rnacentral:rRNA from 1 species